rnacentral:rRNA from 1 species
GAUGAACGCUGGCGGCGUGCCUAAUACAUGCAAGUCGAGCGAACAGACGAGGAGCUUGCUCCUCUGACGUUAGCGGCGGACGGGUGAGUAACACGUGGAUAACCUACCUAUAAGACUGGGAUAACUUCGGGAAACCGGAGCUAAUACCGGAUAAUAUAUUGAACCGCAUGGUUCAAUAGUGAAAGACGGUUUUGCUGUCACUUAUAGAUGGACCGGCGCCGCAUUAGCUAGUUGGUAAGGUAACGGCUUACCAAGGCAACGAUGCGUAGCCAACCUGCGAGGGAGAGCGGCCACUCAGGAUCUGACUCAGGGUCCAGACUCCUACGGAAGGCAGGAGUAGGGAAUGUACCGCAAUGGACGAGAGCCUGACGGAGCAACGCCGCGUGAGUGAGGAAGGUCUUCGGUUGGUAAAACACUGUUAUUAGGGAAGAAAAAAUGCGUAGGUAACUAUGCGCGGCUGAGGGGUCCCGAAUAAGAAGCCCCGGCUAAACUAGUG